rnacentral:rRNA from 1 species
AGCGAACGCUGGCGGCAGGCCUAACACAUGCAAGUCGAACGAACCUUUCGGGGUUAGUGGCGGACGGGUGAGUAACACGUGGGAACGUGCCUUUAGGUUCGGAAUAACUCAGGGAAACUUGUGCUAAUACCGAAUGUGCCCUUCGGGGGAAAGAUUUAUCGCCUUUAGAGCGGCCCGCGUCUGAUUAGCUAGUUGGUUGAGGUAAUGGCUCACCAAGGCGACGAUCAGUAGCUGGUCUGAGAGGAUGAUCAGCCACAUUGGGACUGAGACACGGCCCAAACUCCUACGGGAGGCAGCAGUGGGGAAUCUUGCGCAAUGGGCGAAAGCCUGACGCAGCCAUGCCGCGUGAAUGAUGAAGGUCUUAGGAUUGUAAAAUUCUUCCACCGGGGACGAUAGUGACGGUACCCGGAGAAGAAGCCCCGGCUAACUUCGUGCCAGCCGCCGCGGUAA